rnacentral:rRNA from 1 species
AUUGAACGCUGGCGGCAUGCCUUACACAUGCAAGUCGAACGGUAACAGGCCUUCGGAUGCUGACGAGUGGCGAACGGGUGAGUAAUACAUCGGAACGUGCCUAGUAGUGGGGGAUAACUACUCGAAAGAGUGGCUAAUACCGCAUGAGAUCUACGGAUGAAAGCAGGGGAUCGCAAGACCUUGUGCUACUAGAGCGGCCGGUGGCAGAUUAGGUAGUUGGUGGGAUAAAAGCUUACCAAGCCGACGAUCUGUAGCUGGUCUGAGAGGACGAUCAGCCACACUGGGACUGAGACACGGCCCAGACUCCUACGGGAGGCAGCAGUGGGGAAUUUUGGACAAUGGGCGCAAGCCUGAUCCAGCAAUGCCGCGUGCAGGAUGAAGGCCUUCGGGUUGUAAACUGCUUUUGUACGGAACGAAAAGCCCUGGGUUAAUACCCUGGGGUCAUGACGGUACCGUAAGAAUAAGCACCGGCUAACUACGUGCCAGCCGCCGCGGUAAGAC